AGCGGCGGCUCCUCGGGGACGCAGCACAGAAGCGCGGACCUCCAGGCCGGCUUCGGGUAUGGGACUCAAGGGAAAUGAUCUUUGGGGUCCGCAGAGGACAGCUCCCAAGACCGAGUGUUAACUGGUCCACUUGGCUUUCUGAGUGACGGCAUGCCAGCUCUGUGGCCCUGCCACUGCCUGCCUCCCCAGCCCCCAGCUGAGUUUCAGAGGUCGGCCUAAACAGAGGUGGCACAUACCUGCCUCUUCUCGGAGGAUGGACGAGUCGAACCGGGCACGAGCAUGGAGCUGCGG